GACGUAGGGGGCCAGCGUUGCUCGGAAUUACUGGGUGUAAAGGGUUCGUAGGCGGUGUGGCAAGUCGGGAGUGAAAUCUCUGGGCUCAACCCAGAGUCUGCUUCCGAAACUGCUGUGCUUGAGUGUGGGAGAGGCGCGUGGAAUUGCAGGUGUAGCGGUGAAAUGCGUAGAUAUUGGGAGGAACACCAGUGGCGAAGGCGGCUCACUGGACCGGUUCUGACGCUGAGGCGCGAAAGCGUGGGGAGCAAACGGG
rnacentral:rRNA from 1 species